UCGACGGUAACAUUUCUAGCUUGCUAGAAGAUGACGAGUGGCGGACGGGUGAGUAAUGCUUGGGAACUUGCCUUUGCGAGGGGGAUAACAGUUGGAAACGACUGCUAAUACCGCAUAAUGUCUUCGGACCAAACGGGGCUUCGGCUCCGGCGCAAAGAGAGGCCCAAGUGAGAUUAGCUAGUUGGUAAGGUAACGGCUUACCAAGGCGACGAUCUCUAGCUGUUCUGAGAGGAAGAUCAGCCACACUGGGACUGAGACACGGCCCAGACUCCUACGGGAGGCAGCAGUGGGGAAUAUUGCACAAUGGGGGAAACCCUGAUGCAGCCAUGCCGCGUGUGUGAAGAAGGCCUUCGGGUUGUAAAGCACUUUCAGUUGUGAGGAAAAGUUAGUAGUUAAUACCUGCUAGCCGUGACGUUAACAACAGAAGAAGCACCGGCUAACUCCGUGCCAGCAGCCGCGGUAAUACGGAGGGUGCGAGCGUUAAUCGGAAUUACUGGGCGUAAAGCGCACGCAGGCGGUUUGUUAAGCUAGAUGUGAAAGCCCCGGGCUCAACCUGGGAUGGUCAUUUAGAACUGGCAGACUAGAGUCUUGGAGAGGGGAGUGGAAUUCCAGGUGUAGCGGUGAAAUGCGUAGAUAUCUGGAGGAACAUCAGUGGCGAAGGGCGACUCCCUGGCCAAAGACUGACGCUCAUGUGCGAAAGUGUGGGUAGCGAACAGGAUUAGAUACCCUGGUAGUCCACACCGUAAACGCUGUCUAC
rnacentral:rRNA from 1 species